GACAACUACUUUUCAUUCAGCAGGCCCACCGAGUGUCUUGCUGACUCGGCUAAUCUGCGAGCAGCUGCAUUACAGCGAGCUGGCUCGGAUGUUCACAUCUUCCUCUCCUUUCUCUCAGCUCCCCCAGCUUUGGCUUCACUUCAGGGACACGGAUGUGAAAAGGUGCCAAAACAUCAGAGAUGGUUGCGGGGAACCUGGAGCCUUUCCCAGGGAGCAUCGGGUACAAGGCGGGGUACACCCUGGACAGGGUGCCAAUCCAUCACAGGGCACAAUCACAUACACAUUCACGCACUCAUUCAUACACCAUGGACAAUUUGGACAUGCCAAUCAGUCUACCAUGCAUGUCUUUGGAUUGGGGGAGGAAAGUGGAGUACCCGGAGGAAACCCCUGCAGCAUGAGGAGAACAUGCAAAUUCUGCACACAC
ensembl:lncRNA